GACGAACGCUGGCGGCGUGCUUAACACAUGCAAGUCGAACGGAAAGGCCCUGCUUUUGUGGGGUGCUCGAGUGGCGAACGGGUGAGUAACGCGUGAGUAACCUGCCCUUGACUUUGGGAUAACUUCAGGAAACUGGGGCUAAUACCGGAUAGGAGCUCCUGCUGCAUGGUGGGGGUUGGAAAGUUUCGGCGGUUGGGGAUGUACUCGCGGCUUAUCAGCUUGUUGGUGGGGUAGUGGCUUACCAAGGCUUUGACGGGUAGCCGGCCUGAGAGGGUGACCGGCCACAUUGGGACUGAGAUACGGCACAGACUCCUACGGGACGCAGCAGUGGAGAAUAGUGCACAAUGGGCGGAAGCCUGAUGCAGCAACGCCGCGUGCGGGAUGACGGCCUUCGGGUUGUAAACCGCUUUCGCCUGUGACGAAGCGUGAGUGACGGUAAUGGGUAAAGAAGCACCGGCUAACUACGUG
rnacentral:rRNA from 1 species